UACGUAGGGCGCAAGCGUUUAUCCGGAAUUAUUGGGCGUAAAGAGCUCGUAGGCGGCUUGUCACGUCGGGUGUGAAAGCCCGGGGCUUAACCCCGGGUCUGCAUUCGAUACGGGCUAGCUAGAGUGUGGUAGGGGGAGAUCGGAAUUCCUGGUGUAGCGGUGGAAUGCGCAGAUAUCAGGAGGAACACCGGUGGCGAAGGCGGAUCUCUGGGCCAUAACUGACGCUGAGGAGCGAAAGCAUGGGGAGCGAACAGG
rnacentral:rRNA from 1 species